AAAAAUUCGCUAUUCUAGAAAUGACAAUAAUAAUUGCUAUACUGAUACGAAAAUUUAUAAUUAAAAUAGAUAAGCCAAUAGAAAUUGCAGAAAUAGGAGUAGAAUUGAAUCUCUCGUUGAAACCGACUGAAGCAAUAAAUCUAAAAUUUUAGAGAAGCAUAUCGUGUAGCAGAAUACUAAUCCUCUUUUAAUGGGAUUUGCAAUAUUUGACCAGGUAAAUAAACACUGACUGAAAGAGCAAGACGAAUUUUCAAUUCGUAAUAAAGUUUUCAGCCUUAUAUUACAAAAUAUGACGUGAUUGGCAAUAUCUUAAUAUUAUAAUAUCUCGAUGAAAUCUCUCUUCUUUAAUGGGUUACGGUCCACGAUAUUAUUUCAUUUGUAUCGAGUUCGAUCUAACGGAUCUAUCUUUAAAAAAAUCGUCAUAUAUUUAUUCCGGAAUUUCUGAGAAGAAAUUAGAGAGAUCGUUAACAGGAUACCUGAUGAAUUAAUCUAUUCUUCCUUAAAUGUGUGCAACUCCAUAAAAGGGUA